ensembl:snoRNA
UGCAGCUUUGUCAAAUUCAGUGUUCCCUCUUUGGUAGGGAGCACUGGCCAAAAUGGCUGCAACAGUGAAACUGUAGGUCGUAGAGCUCAGUGUUUCCUCAUUGUGGAUUCUGAGAAUAACUGUGUCCUGCAGACAAAA